rnacentral:rRNA from 1 species
GACGAACGCUGGCGGCGCGCCUAACACAUGCAAGUCGAACGAGCGAGAGAGAGCUUGCUUUCUCGAGCGAGUGGCGAACGGGUGAGUAACGCGUGAGGAACCUGCCUCAAAGAGGGGGACAACAGUUGGAAACGACUGCUAAUACCGCAUAAGCCCACGGUGCCGCAUGGCACAGAGGGAAAAGGAGCAAUCCGCUUUGAGAUGGCCUCGCGUCCGAUUAGCUAGUUGGUGAGGUAACGGCCCACCAAGGCGACGAUCGGUAGCCGGACUGAGAGGUUGAACGGCCACAUUGGGACUGAGACACGGCCCAGACUCCUACGGGAGGCAGCAGUGGGGAAUAUUGUACAAUGGGGGAAACCCUGAUGCAGCGACGCCGCGUGGAGGAAGAAGGGUCUUCGGGAUUGUAAACUCCUGUUGUUGGGGAAGAUAAUGACGGUACCAACAAGGAAGUGACGGCUAACUACGUG